rnacentral:rRNA from 1 species
UACGAAGGGGGCUAGCGUUGCUCGGAAUUACUGGGCGUAAAGGGCGCGUAGGCGGCACUGUUAGUCAGGCGUGAAAGUCCUGGGCUCAACCUGGGAACUGCGCUUGAUACGGCAGAGCUAGAGGAUGGAAGAGGCUCGCGGAAUUCCCAGUGUAGAGGUGAAAUUCGUAGAUAUCGGAAGGAACACCUGUGGCGAAAGCGGCUCACUGGACCAUAACUGACGCUGAGGCACGAAAGCUAGGGGAGCAAACAGG